rnacentral:rRNA from 1 species
AUGCACGCUGGCGGCGUGCCUCAUACAUGCAAGUCGAGCGAACAGACGAGGAGCUUGCUCCUCUGACGUUAGCGGCGGACGGGUGAGUAACACGUGGAUAACCUACCUAUAAGACUGGGAUAACUUCGGGAAACCGGAGCUAAUACCGGAUAAUAUAUUGAACCGCAUGGUUCAAUAGUGAAAGACGGUUUUGCCGUCACUUAUAGAUGGAUCCGCGCCGCAUUAGCUAGUUGGUAAGGUAACGGCUUACCAAGGCGACGAUGCGUAGCCGACCUGAGAGGGUGAUCGGCCACACUGGAACUGAGACACGGUCCAGACUCCUACGGGAGGCAGCAGUAGGGAAUCUUCCGCAAUGGGCGAAAGCCUGACGGAGCAACGCCGCGUGAGUGAUGAAGGUCUUCGGAUCGUAAAACUCUGUUAUUAGGGAAGAACAAAUGUGUAAGUAACUAUGCACGUCUUGACGGUACCUAAUCAGAAAGCCACGGCUAACUACGUG